AGGAAAUGAAAAUUAUCAGCACCUGCUGGUAUGCCCAGCUCCAUGAGAUGUUAGAACUGGACCUAAUAAAUGACAGCAAUGGCUUCUGAUAUUUUAUCCCCUUUAACAAAAUCCUUGAGCACUCCCAUGGCUGUGCAUUAUGACAGAGGCAAAAUGCAUUAAUGCCAAAAAUCUGGACAAAUGGAAGAGAAUGUAACUGAACUACAAGGGCACUUAUUCUGGAUGUGCAAUUGGAUCUAUUCAUGUGUAUAUUUUAAAGCUGAGAAGUUUUGUGUCUACUUUACUAAGAGUGAUUAGCCCAGCACUCUGAAAUGCACAGAGUGAAAGGAGGAAGUCUGGAAGAUUGUGGAAAAUGCCAUCAGAAUAUGAAAAGCUUGGAUCCUUCUUUCAGCUCACUGAUAUCUCCCUGUGUCUAAUAUACCACACCCUCAUGGUCUCCAGAGACUGAAGCCCCCUUCACCAGAGAUCUGCUGUCCAAACCAGCAUGCUGUGUUAUGCCAACCCAGUGCCUUGUCAGCAUGGCAGACAGAAUACAGGGCUUUUGUGUUCCACCCACCCCCUCAUCUCUCAGGUUUUAUUCCACUUCUCUGAACAGUGGACACAUUCCUGCCAGUCUCAGUGUUUUAAUUUAAUUUGGGCACAGGCUAUAUAAAACUGAACAGAUGUCUGAAAGAAGUGAAGACCAUAAAAUGAACCUCAUAAUCAGCUUCAUUUGAACCAAGCAAUAUUUUUUUUGUCUCUGUUGCCACAAAGUUCACACAUGACUUGGGUGUGACAAGAGGAUGCAACAUGGAGAGAGGAGGAUUGUGGUGAGGAAUGAGAUUUCAAGAUUUGAAAUUCUUGUAUGACUCCCUGGAAGAAGUAAGGUAUUGUUCGCAGAGAUCUAAAACUGGAAAACAUUUUAGUUAAAAGCAGUGACAUCAAUGAAGUAAAUGCAGUGAAAUUAAACAUAAAGGUUUUCCAUCCUUUCAGUCAACUCACCACUUCCAUCAGUAGAAACCACCAUGGCCAGCUGCUCUUUUUUCAUGGCCUUGCUUUAUGUACUCAUUUGGAACAGCAACUAGCACCCUCUGUCAUCUCUCCUGCGAGGUCCAAUUUCCAUCCCAAAUAUGUGCUUACCCCAGUGUGUGGGACUGAUUAAUAUUUGGUGCUGAAAUGGAAGCUGAAAAUCCCCCAACACCACAAAAGCAGUUUCAGCUAACUCACCUGCAGCCACAUAAUUGCUCUAGCUGACCUAAGGGAGGUGGUGGAAUCCUGUGUGUAGGAAGAGGGUGGAACUGCAGUUCACAUUUUCAGACUAUUAUUUCCUCCCCUAUCCAGAUAUGAAGAACAGGUAGGCACCUUCCUACUGUCAGCAAUCUGUUAUUUCACUUCUCUCCUGGUCUCUUGUUCUUUAAAGAGAACAGACAACUACCAAACAUGCUUUGACACAGUGAUAACACUUUGACAACAAACAAGCCCACAGAUCUUGCUGUGAACUCAGCCAUAUCUCCCAUGAUGCAGCAGAUAAAAAUCUCACUGAGAUGGCCCCAAACCAGCAUCUUUCUGACAUGUGACUGAAAUAAUAUGAACCCAUGAAGUUAUCAGUGCCUGUGACUACAGCCAACAGUGUGACAUUUGGAGCACAGGUGUCAUUAUGUACAUGCUCAAACUUGGAAGAAAAGCUUUUGAACUAAUAAGAAGGGAAGACCUCUGCUUUGAAAAAUUUGGUCUGGGAAGCAGUUACCAAGGCUGGUAACUAACACAAUGGUCUAACAGAAGAAAUGUUGGCUCCAUUGCAAUGAAUUCCACAAUUAUAGUAGUUGUGAUAUUUUUCUUAGCUUUUAAGUAGUUCAUGUUUUCUGAAGAGCAAAAAUGAUGUUAAAAAUAAAUUGACAUAAAUGAUAUUGUGAACUAAUUUCAUGGCACUGUAAGAAGAAAGAUCUCUGUUGUAUUAAAGCGCUCAGUUGAAAA